rnacentral:rRNA from 1 species
GACGAACCGUCCGAACGUUAUUCGGAAUCACUGAGCUUAAAGGGUGCGUAGGCGGCGCGGAAAGUUGGGUGUGAAAUCCCUCGGCUCAACCGAGGAACUGCGCCCAAAACUACCGUGCUCGAGGGAGAUAGAGGCGAGCGGAACUUAGGGUGGAGCGGUGAAAUGCGUUGAUAUCCUAAGGAACACCGGUGGCGAAAGCGGCUCACUGGAUCUCUUCUGACGCUGAGGCACGAAAGCUAGGGUAGCGAACGGG